GGCAGGAUGGCCGAGCGGUCUAAGGCGCUUGGUUUAAGACACCAGUCACUUUGGUGGGGCGAGUUCGAAUCUCGCUCCUGUCA